ACCAUGAAGAGUUUAAUAAUGAAGAGUUUCACUGCCACUUGCUUCCUUGAUGAAGGUUUUACUGCCAAGGACAUUCUGGACCAAAAAAUUAAUGAAUUUUCUUCUGAUGAUGAUUAGGAUGCCUUCUAUGUCAUGGACCUUAGAGACAUUCUAAAGACACAUCUAAGAUAGUUAAAAGCUCUUCCUCAUGUCACCCCCUUUUAUGCAGUCAAUUAUAAUGACAGCAGAGCCAUCAUGAAGACUCUUGCUGCCAUCGGGACAGGAUUUGACUGUGCUAGCAAGGCUGAAAUACAAUUGGUGCAGAUUCUGGGGAUGCCCCCAGAGAGGUUUAUGUAUGCAAAUUCUUGUAAACAAAUGUCUCAAAUUAAGUACACUGCCAAUAAUGGAGUCCAGAUGAUGAUUUUCGGUAAUGAGGUCAAGUUGAUGUCAGUUGCCAGAACACACUCAAAGCAGCCCGUCACAUCAGUGUUAAAUCUGGUGCCAUGCUCAAAGCCAGCAGGCUUCUUUUGGAAUGAGCAAAAGAACUAAAUAUUGAUGUCACUGGUGUCAGCUUCCAUGUAGGAAGUAGCUGUACCAAUCCUGAGACCUUCAUGCAGGCAGCCUCCAAUGUCCACUGUGUCUUUGACACGGGAGUUGAGUUUGGUUUCAGAAUGUAACUGCUUAAUACUGGCAGUUGCUUUCCUGGAUCUGAGGACGUGAGGCUUAAAUCUGAAGUAUUACCAGUGUAAUCAACCCAGCAUCAGACAAGUAUUUUCCACCAGACUCUAGAGUGAGAGUCACAGCUGAGCCAGGCAGAUAUUUCAUGUGGCAUCAGCUUUCAUUGCCAAAAAAAUCAUAUUAAAAGAACAGACAGGGCCGUCGCGGUGGCUCAUGCCUGUAAUCCCAGCACUUUGGGAGGCUGAGGGAGAUAGUUCAUGAGGUCAGGAGAUCAAGACCAUCCUGGCUAACACGGUGAAACCCCAUCUCUACUAAAAAAAAAACCCAAAAAAUUAGCCAGGCACGGCAGCGGGCGCCUGUAGUCCCAGCUACUCGGGAGGCUGAGGCAGGAGAAUGGCGUGAACCCGAGAGGCGGAGCUUGCAGUGAGCCCAGAUCACACCACUGCACUCCAGCCUGGGUGACAGAGCGAGACUCUGUCUCAAAAAGAAAGAAAGAAAAAAAAGAACAGACAGGCUCUGAAGAGGAAGAUGAGUCAAGCGAACAGACCUUUAUGUAUUACAUGAAUGAUGAAGUAUAUGGAUCAUUUAAUCAAUCCUUUAUGAUCAUGCACAUGUAAAGCCCCUGCUGCAAAAGAGACCUAGAUCAGUGAGAAGUAUUAUUCAUCCAGUAUAUGGGAAGAACAUGUGAUGGCCUUGAUCAGAUUGUUGAGCACUGUGAUCUGCCCAAAAUAUAUGUAGGUAAUUGGAUGCUCUUUAAAAACAUGGGCGCUGACACUGUUGCUGCUACUUGUACUUUUAAUGGAUUCCAGAGGCCAACAAUCUACAUGUGAUGUCAGGACCAGCAUCGAAACUCAUGCAGUGUAUCUAGAAGCACGAUCUCCCACCCCAAGUAGAGGAACAGGACAUUAGCAUCCUGUGUCUUCUGCUUGGGAAAAUAGAAUGAAACAUCAAUCAGCAACUUGUGCUUCUGCUAGUAUUAAUA
rnacentral:lncRNA from 10 species